GGGCGCUUAACUCAGUGGUAGAGUGCUACCUUCACACGGUAGAAGUCACAGGUUCAAAUCCUGUAGCGCCCACCA
rnacentral:tRNA from 1 species